rnacentral:lncRNA from 1 species
ACAAGAUAGACCCCAGGGGCCUGGCCUAUAGCACAGAGAGUCAGGAAGCACCAGGACACCCAGACACCUUUUUACUGCACUUUUCUCUAAGGUUUGCCUUCUCUUCACUUCCCUGGAAGCCUUCGAAGCCAGGACCCAUGAUGAUGCCCCAUUUUCAUCCUCCUAAGAAGCAUGUGCUGCCUGUCAGGAGAACCAGCCCCUUGGACACCAGCUGUUCUUUUCAUGUUCAGAGGGACAGAAAUCAGCAGAAGAAUCAGAGCAAAACAGCCACCCUCUCCCACUCACUCCUUCUCACCACUGAUAGCAGCGAUGGGCCAGGGACCAAUGCAGAGGGAAAGAGAACACUUCAGUUCAUCCUCAGCUCCCAGCACUCUGCAGGAAGACCAUGCAAUAGAAGAGUCACAGCACGAAGAGAAGUCAGGGUCAC